UACAGAGGGUGCAAGCGUUAAUCGGAAUUACUGGGCGUAAAGCGUGCGUAGACGGUCAUGUAAGUCGGGUGUGAAAGCCCCGGGCUCAACCUGGGAAUUGCAUUCGAGACUGCAUGGCUAGGAUGCGGAAGAGGGAAGCGGAAUUUCCGGUGUAGCGGUGAAAUGCGUAGAUAUCGGAAGGAACACCGGUGGCGAAGGCGGGUCUCUGGGCCGAUACUGACGCUGAGGAGCGAAAGCGUGGGGAGCGAACAGG
rnacentral:rRNA from 1 species